rnacentral:tRNA from 6 species
GCCGAUGUGGUGGAAUUGGUAGACACGCUGUCUUGAGGGGGCAGUGGGGAAACCCGUGCCGGUUCGACUCCGGCCAUCGGCACCA